rnacentral:lncRNA from 1 species
UUGCUAAAUUAAUACUUUAUAUUUCAUGGUUAUGUUAUCAAAUAUGAAAUUAAAUCUAUAAUCGCUUAAAAAUUUUAAUUUUUGUACAACGAAUGACGUCAUCAGUGACGUUUUAGUAUUUAGCAGUAAUGGCGGAUAAUACGAUUGUUUAUAAGCGAGGAGAAACACCGUCCAUUCAAGUUAGAAAUUCUGUUUUAAAUGCAUACAAGUGUUUUGGAAGGCGGAAAUCCGUGAGAAGUAACAUUUUCAACGAAACUUCACUCGAUAUUGGUAUUUCUGUAUCGACAAUUAAAAGAAUUUGUAGCCGAAGGAAGCAAAACAGCAGACGAUGACCUGUAAACGGAAAAAAGCUCCGGUUAAAUUGUCGACACCUGGAAAGAAAAGGCAUUUUAUUAUUUAUAAAAAAUUUGUCUUGGA